CCUAUAUAGACUGUUUUUCUAUAUCGAGGGGUGAGAAAUUUUAGUUUUUGGCUCUCCUGUAAAGUUGGUGAAAUGUCACUUUCGCCUUUCUGGUUCACACCCCUCGAUAUGACCCUAUCAGUGAGUAUGACCGAUUGAUUUAACACAACCGACUCGAAUGAAUCAUGUCGGACAUUGCUUGUUCAGAUUCUAAACAACCGACAGAAAACGAGGAGCACUCGACGCGAUUACAGAAAUACACCAUUCAUAAUGAGCUGGGGGGGAUUAGGAAAAAAACUCGAAACACAGAGGUAAAUAAACAACAGGAAGAGGAGUAGCCUACCUGGAGAGAGCAAUCUGUUCUGUUAGCAUUCCACUAGCAUCUUUGCUUCAUGAGAAGCUGAUUCAAAUUAUUUUGUAACAAGCUGAGCCGUAAAAGUCAAAAUAUUCUUUCUGCAGACGGUUGAACCGGUUCACAAAACUGAAUCGAUCCGACCUUUUCAACAACUCACCGAUUCUAUUCAACCGAGAAGGGGCCCUACUCUAAAAAACCAAGCACCAAAGCAUGAGCUGAUUGAUGGUAACCAGAUUUGGAAUGAAACAAGGAUUUUACCAAAGAGGCAAAAAGUCACAAUACCUGUAGACAUUGGUAACUCCUCAUCUCAGAAGAUCUCAGGUGGCUUAUCAGCAGGCGUUUUCACAGCUAACAGCAGAGCCAGUACCUGUGACUGAGACCUGACUGCUCUAGCACAGUCAAUCACCACCUGUCUGACACUUCCAUCACAGUCUGCCAAGACUAGCUUCCUCUCAC